rnacentral:misc_RNA from 1 species
UGUAGGAGCUGGCUUGCCUGCGAUGCAGGCACCUCGGCUUUUCGUCUAGACCGAGGUGAUGCUAUCGCAGGCAAGCCAGCUCCCACA